rnacentral:rRNA from 1 species
AGAGUUUGAUUCUGGCUCAGAACGAACGCUGGCGGCAGGCUUAACACAUGCAAGUUGAACGGGAUUUGAUGGUAGCUUGCUAUCAUUAAUGAGAGUAGCGCACUGGUGAGUAACACGUGGGAACAUGCCUUUUUGGUGGGGGACAACAGUUGGAAACGACUGCUAAUACCGCAUAAGCCCGGAAGGGGAAAGAUUAAUUGCCGAAAGAUUGGCCCGCGGAAGAUUAGGUAGUUGGUGGGGUAAAGGCCUACCAAGCCGACGAUCUAUAGCUGGUCUGAGAGGACGAACAGCCACAUUGGAACUGAGACACGGUCCAGACUCCUACGGGAGGCAGCAGUGAGGAAUAUUGGGCAAUGGAGGCAACUUCCUGACCCAGCCAUGCCGCGUGAGUGAAGAAGGUUUUCGAAUUGUAAAGCUCUUUCGGGUGUGACGAUGAUGACGGUAACACCUAAAGAAGCCCCGGCAAACUUCGUGCCAGCCGCCGC